rnacentral:tRNA from 1 species
GGCGCGUAGCUCAGUUGGUUAGAGCGCCUGCUUGACAUGCAGGAGGUCGGCGGUUCANNACCGAGACGGUCUCCCGACCGAUCGACGCAGCAUGAGCCAGAUCACCGUCACCCUGCCGGAUGGAUCCACCCGCGCCGCCA